rnacentral:rRNA from 1 species
CUUUGGAAGUUCCUAGUGGCGAACGAGUGAGUAACACGUGAGUUACCUGCCCUGAAGUGGGGAAUAGCCCGGAGAAAUUCGGAUUAAUACCCUAUGUGAUCGUAAGAUUAAAGGCGGCUUCGGCUGUCGCUUCAGGAUGGGCUCGCGGCCUAUCAGCUUGUUGGUGAGGUAAAGGCUCACCAAGGCGAUGACGGGUAGCUGGUCUGAGAGGACGACCAGUCACACUGGAACUGAGACACGGUCCAGACACCUACGGGUGGCAGCAGUCGAGAAUCAUUCGCAAUGGACGAAAGUCUGACGGUGCGACGCCGCGUGGAGGAUGAAGGCCCUAGGGUCGUAAACUCCUGUCAUCAGGGAGUAAAUGCUCAUGCAGUAACUGGUAUGGGUCUUGAUAGUACCUGAAGAGGAAGGGACGGCAAACUUCGUGCCAGCAGCCGCGGUAAUACGAAGGUCCCAAGCGUUGUUCGGAUUUACUGGGCGUAAAGCGUCUGUAGGCGGCGCGGUAAGUCAGAUGUGAAAUCCCGGGGCUCAACCCCGGAACUGCAUCCGAUACUGCCGUGCUUGAGGGUCGGAGGGGAGUCUGGAAUUCUCGGUGUAGCAGUGAAAUGCGUAGAUAUCGAGAGGAACACUAGUGGCGAAGGCGAGACUCU